UUUCCUACGGGGGGCUGCAGUGAGGAAUUUUGCGCAAUGGGGGAAACCCUGACGCAGCAACGCCGCGUGAGUGAUGAAGGCCUUCGGGUCGUAAAGCUCUGUCAAGUGGGAAGAACCUGCAAAAGGCCAAUACCCUUUUGCACUGACGGUACCACUGAAGGAAGCACCGGCUAACUCCGUGCCAGCAGCCGCGGUAAUACGGGGGGUGCAAGCGUUACUCGGAAUCAUUGGGCGUAAAGGGCGCGUAGGCGGCCGGGUAAGUCAGGUGUGAAAGCCCGGGGCUCAACCCCGGAAGUGCAUUUGAUACUGCCAGGCUUGAGUAUGGGAGAGGGAAGUGGAAUUCCUGGUGUAGAGGUGAAAUUCGUAGAUAUCAGGAGGAACACCGGUGGCGAAGGCGACUUCCUGGACCAAUACUGACGCUGAGGCGCGAAGGCGUGGGGAGCAAACAGGAUUAGAUACCCGGGUAGUC
rnacentral:rRNA from 1 species